AUACCUUUAAUGCAAACUUAAAGUAAAUCGUGAAACUCAACCAAUUUCGAUAAUCUCAUCCUAUCGUCCAUAAUAAUCCAAAUAGACACAUUGUAGUAUUCAAAACGGAUCAUAUUCAACGCAUAAAAUUAUACAAAUAAUGUUAAGAACGUGAGGAAUACAUGUACGAAAAAUAUGUGUUUUAUAUAAAGAAGACUCGAAUUUUUUGUAAACACUCGAGUACCUGCUCUGGAGAGAUUAUGGCACAUUGAUUGGUAAACUUACGGUGGCUAUGCCAGAUUUGGUUGUGGCACAGGGCAAAAUAGCGGUUCCACCAAUUUGUGACGUCACGAUUGUCC